rnacentral:rRNA from 1 species
GCCAGACUCCUACGGGAGGCAGCAGUAGGGAAUUUUCGUCAAUGGGCGCAAGCCUGAACGAGCAAUGCCGCGUGAACGAGGAAGGUCUUCGGAUCGUAAAGUUCUGUUGACGGGGAAAAAAGACCGGGAAAGGAAAUGAUCCCGGAGGAGAUAUUACCCGUCGAGGAAGUCACGGCUAACUACGUGCCAGCAGCCGCGGUAAUACGGAGGAUGCGAGCGUUAUCCGGAUUUAUUGGGUUUAAAGGGUGCGUAGGCGGUUUUUUAAGUUAGUGGUUAAACGUCGGGGCUUCACCUUGAUUUGCCAUUAAUACUGUAAGACUCGAGUUCAGACGAGGUAGGCGGAAUAAGUUAAGUAGCGGUGAAAUGCUUAGAUAUAACUUAGAACUCCGAUAGCGAAGGCAGCUUACCAGACUGCGACUGACGCUGAAGCACAAGAGCGUGGGUAGCGAACAGGAUUAGAUACCCGCGUA